GAUGAACGCUAGCGGCAGGCUUAACACAUGCAAGUCGAGGGGCAGCAAGGGUAGCAAUACCUGUUGGCGACCGGCAAACGGGUGCGGAACACGUACACAAUCUACCUUUAUCUGGGGGAUAGCCCGAAGAAAUUCGGAUUAAUACCCCAUAAUAUAUUUGGAUGGCAUCAUUUGAAUAUUAAAACUCCGGUGGAUAGAGAUGAGUGUGCGUCCCAUUAGCUAGUUGGUAGGGUAACGGCCUACCAAGGCGACGAUGGGUAGCUGGUGUGAGAGCACGACCAGCCACACGGGCACUGAGACACGGGCCCGACUCCUACGGGAGGCAGCAGUGAGGAAUAUUGGUCAAUGGACGCAAGUCUGAACCAGCCAUGCCGCGUGAAGGAUGAAGGCCUUCUGGGUUGUAAACUUCUUUUAUUGGGGAAGAAAAUUACGGUUUCUACUGUAACCGACGGUACCCAAGGAAUCAGCACCGGCUAACUCCGUGCCAGCCGCCGCCGUAACAC
rnacentral:rRNA from 1 species